UGCGCAAGUCAUUGGGACAUAAAGCGAAACCUAAAGGCGUAAUGAAAGUGAAUGCGUGCCACUUGUGGCCGUAUAGGGAGGAUGGGCAGAUCCACGGAUUAGCUCCGCACUCCCGGGGCGUCUCAUGUUCAUUGCGAACUGAGGCGCACCUAGAGCGUACACGCUGGGACCCGAAAGAUGGUGAACUAUGCCUGGUCAGGACGAAGUCAGGGGAAACCCUGAUGGAGGUCCGUAGCGAUUCUGACGUGCAAAUCGAUCGUCGGAACUGGGUAUAGGGGCGAAAGACUAAUCGAACCAUCUAGUAGCUGGUUCCCUCCGAAGUUUCCCUCAGGAUAGCUGGCGCUCAAAUAAGGCAGACAGUCCCUAAACGGGGCGUGCAAACUAACGAGUUUCAUCCGGUAAAGCGAAUGAUUAGAGGCAUUGGGGUCGAAACGAUCUCAACCUAUUCUCAAACUUUAA
rnacentral:rRNA from 1 species